GAUGAACGCUGGCGGCGUGCCUAAUACAUGCAAGUCGAGCGAACGGACGAGAAGCUUGCUUCUCUGAUGUUAGCGGCGGACGGGUGAGUAACACGUGGAUAACCUACCUAUAAGACUGGGAUAACUUCGGGAAACCGGAGCUAAUACCGGAUGAUAUUUUGAACCGCAUGGUUCAAAAGUGAAAGACGGUCUUGCUGUCACUUAUAGAUGGAUCCGCGCUGCAUUAGCUAGUUGGUAAGGUAACGGCUUACCAAGGCAACGAUGCAUAGCCGACCUGAGAGGGUGAUCCGCCACACUGGAGCUGACGCACGGAUCAGACUCCUGCGGCAGGCAGCAGUAGGGAAGCUUGCGGAAGGGGCGAAUGCCUGACGGAGCGACGCCGCGUGAGGGAUGAAGGUCUUCGGAGCGUAAAACUCUUUUAUGAUGGAAGAACAUAUGUGUAAGUAACUGUGCACUUUUUGACGGUACCUGAACAGAAAGCCCCGGCUAACUACGUG
rnacentral:rRNA from 1 species